CCUCUCCCUUAUCCUGGAAUGACCUAUCGCCCAAUUCGGAGCCCGGCCGCGGCCCCGACUCACGUGUAAGGAGGGAAUUGAGUGGCAGCCCAGGGAUGAACAGGCAGGCGGUCACUAUAGCCUUUGUUCAGACUGCUUCCUGUAAUACUGGAGCCCUAGAGAUGGGGAAAGAAGAGAAUCUCUCAUACAAGUAUCUUCGAGGGAGUUUCGAAAUCAUCUGUAGUUUCUGCCUCUUGUAGAAGAGAAGCACCAGGAGAGAAAGGACCUUAUCUGCCUAUGCAUCAUUGGAUUCCCAACCCCUAGAAUAAGCAGCUGGCAUAUUAGUAGGCAUGCUGGAGUAAGCUACGUACUCGAUGUAACCCUUGUGAAGUCAAGGACAGAGCUCAGUUUGGCUCAUAUCUUGAUUUCAUCAUUGGAAGGCCCCUGGCUCUGGGUACAACGAGCAAGAAGUGAAGAGGACUUGGUGUGAGAAGAUGUUGGUUUAAAAAUAAAGUCUGCAGGGAGAAAGCUAGAACCAGAUGGUCUGUGGCUUUUGGACUAAGAAGAGGACAUACCUGAUACGCAGUCC